UUCAAAUUCAGAGAUAAUAAAAACGAAAAAAACACAAAAACGAAAAGAAAGAAAGUGAGAAUGAUUGGGAGAGAAGAAUUCAAAUCCCAUAGCAUUCCGUUAAACGUCUUCGCAACAGAGAGAGAGCGAGAGAGAGAGAGAGAGAGAGAACUUCGAACUGCGGAAAAUCCUUUGUUAGAACUUAGAAGAAACGAAUUUCUCGAGAGAGAGGAGAAAAUCAAGAGUGAGAAAUCUUCGUCUGUAAAAGGAAACACGAGAGAUAAAGAGAGAGAGAUUCGGAAGCAGAGAACAGAAGCAAGUCUAGCAAGAAAGAGAGUGUGUAAGAUAAUUGUUGCUGUGAGAAGGUUUUAAGAGAGAGAGACAGAGAGAGAGAGACGGAA